CUUUUUCCGUCAACAAUCCUAUAGCAGCGUGAUGGGUUUGUCAAUCGUCAUCAUCAAAGUAAAGAAUUGUAGAAAAUAAUUGGGCGGGCUGGACAUGCGAGAGAGAAGAGGUAAUUAAUGGGAAGAAUAUUCGUGAUAGACAUAGAAGGCCGAUGCUACAGUUGCCGGUGCUGCGACGAUACCCCUCUUGCUCUCGUCGACGAUGUCCUUUCUCGGGGUAUUGGGAAUGGUAUUUGGGUCAACCAAUAGUGUGUGGAAGUUGAAUGGAAAGAGCGAUUUCUUCUAAGGUGUAUCAUGUGAAUUAGCACAUGGAGAAUGUUUGUUAUGUAGUUUUAGAUGCUUAUAUGUGAUGGUGCCGCUUAAUGGCUUUCUGGAUAUGGAUAAUUUCAUGGGACAAAUUCUUACUUCAGGGUCUGGAAAAGAUUAUUAAGAUGACAAAACUGACUUUGAACUAUCAACAAUUCCAGCUCUCAUACCUGUACUGAGUACUGCUGCUGGCGAGACGCUACUGCUGCUUGUUAAGCACGUUGAACUUAUUAUUAACAAGGUUUUUUUUAUCAUUCAAUUCAUUAGACACAAUUAUAUUUUUGUGCUUCAACACAUUUGGUGGAAACCCUGUAUGUACUGCUGCAGGGCUGGCUGUUCUAAGAGUGAUUGAGAAAGAAAAUCUUCAGGAAAAUGCAUUUGUUGGGUCUCAUCUGAAAAAAAGACUGACUGAGCCCAAAGAGAAAUACAAAAGUAAAAUAUGAAUUCCUUUGACUUUCCCGAUCGAAAAUUUGCUUUACGUAUCAUAAUUUCAAACAUGCUAUUUUCUUACUGUAGUUAUUGGAGAUGUGAGGGGAAGAUGAUUAAUGGUUUACUAUACGUUUUCUAAUGGUGUUUUUAUGUUUACCAAAUUCUAUGUUUUUUUCCCUCAUAUAUCUGUCAUUUUAAUUGUACUUUGUGCUCGUUUUUCUUCAAAAUCUUAUUUAUAGGAGCAACUUGAUUUUUUGAAUCAUUUCAAUUGCAGUCAUGGAAA